rnacentral:rRNA from 1 species
UCCCCCGACGGGUCUGCCUCAGUAGCGGCGAGUGAAGCGGCAAGAGCUCAGAUUUGAAAUCGUGCUUUGCGGCACGAGUUGUAGAUUGCAGGUUGGAGUCUGUGUGGAAGGCGGUGUCCAAGUCCCUUGGAACAGGGCGCCCAGGAGGGUGAGAGCCCCGUGGGAUGCCGGCGGAAGCAGUGAGGCCCUUCUGACGAGUCGAGUUGUUUGGGAAU